UUACAAAUUGAGGCUUAACCUUAAAUAAGCAACAGAUACUGUUAAACUUGAGUAUAGUAGAGGUAAAAGGAUUUCCAGUGGAGCGGUGAAAUGCGUAGAGAUUGGAAAGAACACCGAUGGCGAAGGCAUUUUACUGGGCUAUAACUGACACUCAGAGACGAAAGCUAGGGUAGCAAAUGGGAUUAGAUACCCCAGUAGUCCUAGCCGUAAACGAUGGAUACUAGAUGUUGCACGUAUCGACCCGUGCAGUGUCAAAGCUAACGCGUUAAGUAUCCGCCUGGGGAGUAUGCUCGCAAGGGUGAAACUCAAAUGAAGUUGACGGGGGCCCGCACAAGCGGUGGAGCAUGUGGUUUAAUUCGAAGCAACGCGAAGAACCUUACCUACACUUGACAUCCAGAGAACUUUCUAGAGAUGGAUUGGUGCCUUCGGGAACUCUGAGACAGGUGCUGCAUGGCU
rnacentral:rRNA from 1 species